rnacentral:rRNA from 1 species
AUGAAGAACGCUUCCUACUCUAUUGUAUCCUGGAAUGUUCGUGGUCUAGGAGAUAAUGACAAGUGCGCAAAUGUGUUCUCUGAAUUAAACUGUUUACGACCGUCCAUAGCCCUCCUUCAAGAAACCAAGCUACAAAAACCAGACACCAUCAAGCUUCGUUCGAUUCUGCCUCGCUUCCUUGACUCCAACAAUCACCUUGACGCUUCAGGAAUGGCGGGAGGCAUUCUUUCGGCCACAAACUCACGUUGCUUCUCGCUUACCAAUUGCCAACACAAACGAUUCACAUCAACCUUAACUCUAUCAUGUCUUGCAUCGCCACACAACAUCUUCGUUACAAAUGUUUACGCUCCAUCGCAACGUGAUCUAAAAACGGAAUUCCUUGACGAACUAAAAACAAUUGAACCACCUACACAAUCACCCUGGCUCCUCAUUGGUGAUUUCAACAUCACCAGAUUCCCCCACGAGCGUAAUAAUGCUAACUUCCGCAGAUCAUAGGCCGACGCUUUCAACGAUACAAUUGACCACCUUCCCCUCAUAGAGUUGCCUCUACUUGACAGAGAGUUCACCUGGUCAAAUAAAAGACAGUCCCCUACUCUAAUUAGGCUAGAUAGAGUGCUGAUCAACUUAGCCUGGGAUGCCAUGUUCCCAAACUCUCACUUAACCUCUCUCACUAGGUUCAUUUCGGAUCACGUACCGCUCCUAGUCACAAUAUCUACGUCCGUCCCAUCUUCCCGCAUUUUCCGAUUUGAAAAAUUCUGGGCCUCAUUUCCAAAAUGCACUGACAUUGUGCGUGAAUGCUGGCAGCCCAUCCCUGUUCAUCGCAGGCCAACUGACCUGGCCGCCGCCCUCGCUGGCUGCAUCAAAUCUACUCGCUCCGCACUAAAGUCUUGGGCCAAAACCCUGAAGCCCAUCUAUCAACGGGAAACUGACUGUAAACUGGCUAUCCAGGCCCUCGAUUUGAACGAAGAAAUCGCCCCACUUCUCCCGCUCGAACAAAAGCUGCGCCUUACGCUCGCCAACCUACUUCAACUAAUUAUCAAACAAAAGAUCGCCUUCUGGAAACAAAGGGGGAAGAUACGUUUGGCCAUCGACGGCGACGAGAACACUCGUUUUUUUUCAUGCCUCUGUAACCCAACGCUCGGGAACAAAUAA